rnacentral:rRNA from 1 species
ACGGAGGGUGCAAGCGUUAUCCGGAAUCACUGGGUUUAAAGGGUGCGUAGGCGGCUAGGUAAGUCAGGGGUGAAAGGUCACGGCUCAACUGUGGAAUUGCCUUUGAUACUGCCAAGCUUGAAUCAGGAUGAGGUCGGCGGAAUGUGGCAUGUAGCGGUGAAAUGCAUAGAUAUGCCAUAGAACACCAAUUGCGAAGGCAGCUGGCUAGACCUUGAUUGACGCUGAGGCACGAAAGCGUGGGGAGCGAACAGGA